rnacentral:rRNA from 1 species
UACGUAGGGGGCGAGCGUUAUCCGGAUUUACUGGGCGUAAAGCGCGUGUAGGUGGUUGUGUAAGUUGUUUGUGAAAUCUCCCGGCUCAACCGGGAUACUGCAGGCAAUACUGCACGGCUAGAGUGGCAGAGAGGAAAGUGGAAUUCCCGGUGUAGUAGUGAAAUGCGUAGAUAUCGGGAGGAACACCAGUGGCGAAGGCGACUUUCUGGCUGCUAACUGACACUGAGACGCGAAAGCUAGGGGAGCGAACGG